rnacentral:rRNA from 1 species
GACGAACGCUGGCGGCGUGCUUAACACAUGCAAGUCGAACGGAAAGGCCCUGCUUUUGUGGGGUGCUCGAGUGGCGAACGGGUGAGUAACACGUGAGUAACCUGCCCUUGACUUUGGGAUAACUUCAGGAAACUGGGGCUAAUACCGGAUAGGAGCUCCUGCUGCAUGGUGGGGGUUGGAGAGUUUCGGCGGUUGGGGCUGGACUCGCGGCUUAUCCGCUUGUUGGUGGGGUAGUGGCUUACCAAGGCUAUGACGGGUAGCCGGCCUGAGAGGGUUACCGGCCACAUUGGGACUGAGAGACGGCCCAGACUCCUACGGGAGGCAGCAGUGGGGAAUAUUGCACAAUGGGCGGAAGCCUGAUGCAGCAACGCCGCGUGCGGGAUGACGGCCUUCGGGUGGUAAACCGCUUUCGCCUGUGACGAAGCGUGAGUGACGGUAAUGGGUAAAGAAGCACCGGCUAACUACGUG